UACGUACGGUGCAAGCGUUAUCCGGAUUUACUGGGUGUAAAGGGAGCGCAGGCGGCACGGCAAGCCUGAUGUGAAAGCCCGCGGCCCAACCGCGGGACUGCAUUGGGAACUACCGGGCUGGAGUGCCGGAGAGGUAGGCGGAAUUCCUAGUGUAGCGGUGAAAUGCGUAGAUAUUAGGAGGAACACCAGUGGCGAAGGCGGCCUACUGGACGGUGACUGACGCUGAGGCUCGAAAGCGUGGGGAGCAAACAGG
rnacentral:rRNA from 1 species